GACGAACGCUGGCGGCGUGCUUAACACAUGCAAGUCGAACGGAAAGGCCCUGCUUUUGUGGGGUGCUCGAGUGGCGAACGGGUGAGUAACACGUGAGUAACCUGCCCUUGACUUUGGGAUAACUUCAGGAAACUAGGGCUAAUACCGGAUAGGAGCUCCUGCUGCAUGGUGGGGGUUGGAAAGUUUCGGCGGUUGGGGAUGGACUCGCGGCUUAUCAGCUUGUUGGUGGGGUAGUGGCUUACCAAGGCUUUGACGGGCAGCCGGCCUGAGAGGGUGACCGGCCACAUUGGGACUGAGAUACGGCCCAGACUCCUACGGGAGGCAGCAGUGGGGAAUAUUGCACAAUGGGCGGAAGCCUGAUGCAGCAACGCCGCGUGCGGGAUGACGGCCUUCGGGUUGUAAACCGCUUUCGCCUGUGACGAAGCGUGAGUGACGGUAAUGGGUAAAGAAGCACCGGCUAACUACGUG
rnacentral:rRNA from 1 species